rnacentral:rRNA from 1 species
GAUGAACGCUGGCGGUCUGCUUAACACAUGCAAGUCGAACGCAACCUUCGGGUUGAGUGGCGGACGGGUGAGUAACGCGUGAGAAUCUGCCUUGGGGUCGGGGACAACCACUGGAAACGGUGGCUAAUACCGGAUAAGCCUUUGGGUAAAAAAUUUAUUGCCCCAAGAGGAGCUCGCGUCUGAUUAGCUAGUUGGUGAGGUAAGAGCUCACCAAGGCAGCGAUCAGUAGCUGGUCUGAGAGGACGAUCAGCCACACUGGGACUGAGACACGGCCCAGACUCCUACGGGAGGCAGCAGUGGGGAAUUUUCCGCAAUGGGCGAAAGCCUGACGGAGCAAGACCGCGUGAGGGAGGAAGGCUCUUGGGUUGUAAACCUCUUUUCUCAGGGAAGAAGCUCUGACGGUACCUGAGGAAUCAGCCUCGGCUAACUCCGUGCCAGCAGCCGCGGUAAUACGGAGGAGGCAAGCGUUAUCCGGAAUUAUUGGGCGUAAAGCGUUCGCAGGUGGCGAUUCAAGUCUGCUGUCAAAGCACGGGGCUUAACUCCGUUAAGGCAGUGGAAACUGAAUAGCUAGAGUGCCGUAGGGGUAGAGGGAAUUCCCGGUGUAUCGGUGAAAUGCGUAGAGAUCGGGAAGAACAUCGGUGGCGAAAGCGCUCUACUGGACGGCAACUGACACUCAGGGACGAAAGCUAGGGGAGCGAAUGGGAUUAGAUACCCCAGUAGUCCUAGCUGUAAACGAUGGAUACUAGGUGUAGCUUGUA